CUCUCCACCGCGCUAUUGGCAACACACAGCAACAAGCUACUGCUCGCUAGAACACAAGACGCAAAGAGUUUCUACAGGAAACAGGGAGCUGAAGCGCCAAGCGAAGCGACCAUGAAGAGCAGCACGCUCCUGGUGCUCCUGUAGUCCUGUGCCUGCAGGCCGCCCUGGUCAUGGGGAUCUUCGCAGCCGUGGCAAAAGAAAAUGCCGUGGUCGAGAGCAAGGCCAUCGACAUCAACCCGGGUCAGCUCAAGUGCUGCACCAACUGCAACUUCUCCUUCUCGGGGCUCUACACCUGCGACGACGUCAAGAAGGACUGCGACCCCGUCUGCAAGAAGUGCGUCGCCGUCAAGACCUACUCCGGCAACAAGUUCAGGUGCACCGACACCUUCCUCGGCAUCUGCGGACCCAAGUGCUAGACUAGAUGCAUGAGCCACCAUCCCAGCAUGGGCAGCUGCUGGAUCGAAUUUGGCUUGGGAAAUGCAGGACCGAGGCCAUGCGGUCCUCCGAUCCUACUACACGAGCAUACAUAAGAUUAUUGUGUGUUGUGAGUUUGUGUCAUUGUGUAAUGGUACGUGCUUGUUCUCGACGAUGCACGCGAACAAUAAGCCGUUGUUUGCGAUAAAUAAAAGUGAUGCAGCAUGCAAAAGUUACGUUUCGAAAA